rnacentral:SRP_RNA from 7 species
GCCGGGGAACUUUAGGAGCUUCGCAAUCCGAACCAGGUCAGGACCGGAAGGUAGCAGCCUUAAGGAUGUGGCGAAGAGUCCAAAGACCUCUCCGGCUUU